rnacentral:lncRNA from 1 species
GAUAGAAUUUGAUUCAGGUAGACCAACAAUUUGGAAGAGGAUGUGAGUUAAUGAUAGUUAGUAUGUGCAAAGACAUUUGUUAUUUAAAAUGAAGACAAUUUGGAAGAGGAUGUGAAUUAAUUGAUAGGAAGAAGGAAAUUGUUCUUGGUAUAAAAAAUACUCCAUUUCAUCUAGAUAUGACCUUUAUAUACAUUUUAUCUAACCUUAAUUAUAAAAAAUACUCCACCUGAGAUGGUAUUGGGUUUCGGAGGUUAUGGUGUUUCGUGUUCUGUGUGGUUCGGUUCUGUGUGGUAAUGGUAUUGGGUUCGUUGAGGUGCUGAGAUGUUGUGGUUGUCCUCUGCUUUCCUGCAAGCUCUUCUGUUUCACCGUUGUUGAUCGCUGAGCCUCUUUGAUUCUCAUCUGUUUGUUGUUUCUCUCCGCGCCGGAAAGUUGUUGCGGAUUUGGGCUUUGUUAAUUUGGUUUGGAUUUUGUGCUGGUGCGGAUCUCGUAUCUUGUGCUGGUGCAGAUUUAGACUUUGUUUCAGCUGUUUGUUGCUGUUUUCCGGCAGGUGUGGUGGUUAGGUGCGGAUCCGGAGGUUUGGUGUGAUAUUGGUGGUGAGUCUCGUUUGGAGUGGUGG